rnacentral:rRNA from 1 species
UACGUAGGGGGCAAGCGUUAUCCGGAUUUACUAGGUGUAAAGGGAGCGUAGACGGCAGUGCAAGUCUGAAGUGAAAGGCGGGGGCCCAACCCCCGAACUGCUUUGGAAACUGUGCUGCUUGAGUGCAGGAGAGGCAAGUGGAAUUCCUAGUGUAGCGGUGAAAUGCGUAGAUAUUAGGAGGAACACCAGUGGCGAAGGCGGCUUGCUGGACUGUAACUGACGUUGAGGCUCGAAAGCGUGGGGAGCAAACGGG